rnacentral:rRNA from 1 species
CCCUUAGAUGUUCUGGGCCGCACGCGCGCUACAAUGGUCUUCGCAAACGGAUGCAUUCUCGAAGGAGAAUGCCAAUCUUGGAAUCUAUGCCUUGGUCGGGACAGUUGCUUGCAAUUUUUCGACUCGAACCAGGAAUUCCUUGUAAUCGUGAUUCAUCACAUCACGAUGAAUACGUCCCUGCCCUUUGUACACACCGCCCGUCGCUCCUACCGAUCGAAGAGUUAGGUGAAUUGUUUUGAUCGAUAAGAUCUGACUAUGGUCAACUCUCGUUGUGAAAUUCUGUGAAUCUGACUGUUUAGAGGAAGGAAAAGUCGUAACA